CAUGUCCUGGUCUUUGUCAGUGCGCUGAAGAAGAGGCUUGGAAUUCGAUCACACCACCGAGACCUAAUAAUCAAUGGUUUAAUAAUUUUGUUGAGUUAAGAAGACAGUGGAGUGAUCAUGCACGUACUAAUUGCUAUCGAUUUGAUCAAUCGAGAAAAUCUAAUGCACUUUAUAAACAUCCAAUACCAACCCAAAAAUCUACCUUACCUACAAAUCACUCUUCAUUACCGGCAGAUUCUCCAGCUCACUCGAUAAAUGUCCCAUGCCAUGAAUUAGAAACAAAUUCUUCCUGUUGUCACAGCGGAAGUCAUAAUAAUUAUAACAAACGUAACCAUAAAAAU